UCUAUUAUGGCAGAUUAGUGUAAUGAAUUUAAGAUUCAUAAAUAAAAUUUUAAUAUUUUUGAUAGAA
rnacentral:tRNA from 1 species